rnacentral:rRNA from 1 species
UGGGGAAUUUUGGACAAUGGGCGAAAGCCUGAUCCAGCAAUGCCGCGUGUGUGAAGAAGGCCUUCGGGUUGUAAAGCACUUUUGUCCGGAAAGAAAUCCUUGGCUCUAAUACAGUCGGGGGAUGACGGUACCGGAAGAAUAAGCACCGGCUAACUACGUGCCAGCAGCCGCGGUAAUACGUAGGGUGCAAGCGUUAAUCGGAAUUACUGGGCGUAAAGCGUGCGCAGGCGGUUUGCUAAGACCGAUGUGAAAUCCCCGGGCUCAACCUGGGAACUGCAUUGGUGACUGGCAGGCUAGAGUAUGGCAGAGGGGGGUAGAAUUCCACGUGUAGCAGUGAAAUGCGUAGAGAUGUGGAGGAAUACCGAUGGCGAAGGCAGCCCCCUGGGCCAAUACUGACGCUCAUGCACGAAAGCGUGGGGAGCAAACAGGAUUAGAUGCCCUGGUAGUCCACGCCCUAAACGAUGUCAACUAGUUGUUGGGGAUUCAUUUCCUUAGUAACGUAGCUAACGCGUGAAGUUGACCGCCUGGGGAGUACGGUCGCAAGAUUAAAACUCAAAUGAAUUGACGGGGUCAUA